UUCAGUUUGGCUCAAAAUCCUGCCAUCAACUUUGUUGUUUAUAUCUUACAGUUACAAGUUGUUGAUCUUUUAAUAUAUGGACUAAACCAAUUAUUUAUGAGAGGUAACAUUUGAUCUUCAAAGUAUAAUUUCACACAGUUAGGUAUUCAACUCAUGUCUUGAUAAAAAUGGCUAACAUACCUGAAAUAUGAACUGAACAGUAAAUCAAUUGUCACUUCGAGUUCAUUAUCAUGAAUCGUAAUUAAUCAAAAAAAUUUAUCUUCUUAAAGCAAGCAAAUUUCAGUUGAACCUGCCGUAUUUGGUUCAAACUCUCUAUUUUCUAGGAAGUUCACUUUCUAGGAAGUAACUUACCCCAUAGAGGUAAGUGAGUUAAAAUGGC
rnacentral:misc_RNA from 1 species